rnacentral:rRNA from 1 species
GCCUACAUGAAGCCGGAAUUGCUAGUAAUGGCAGGUCAGCAUACUGCCGUGAAUACGUUCCCGGGCCUUGUACACACCGCCCGUCACACCAUGAGAGUUGGGGAUACCCGAAGCCUGUGAGCCAACUAUAUAGAGGCAGCAGUCGAAGGUAGAAUCAAUGAUUGGGGUGAAGUCGUAACAAGGUACC